GAUGAAGAACGCAGCGAAACGCGAUACGUAAUGUGAAUUGCAGAAUUCAGUGAAUCAUCGAAUCUUUGAACGCACCUUGCGCCCCUCGGCAUUCCGAGGGGCAUGCCUGUUUGAGUGUCACGGAUCCUUCGAACCCCGCCGGUCUCCGACGAGCCGGCCGCCUGGGUUCGGUCCUGGGCGCUACGCCACCCCUCCGGGGCUGGCCCGCCUCAAACGCAUCAGCUGGGCCUCGCGGCGUGGGCGGGCUCCGAUCGGCGUGAUAAGUCAUCUGCCGAGAGGGUGCCCGUCCGUCCCGCGGAUCGCGGUCCGCUCCCAACCCCUCCCCGCGCGCCGUCCCCCCCCGGGGAGCGCGCGGGGACGUUUCGACGCUCUGGCCUCAAAUCAGGUAGGACCACCCGCUGAACUUAAGCAUAUCAAUAAGCGGAGGA
rnacentral:misc_RNA from 1 species